UACGUAGGGUGCGAGCGUUAAUCGGAAUUACUGGGCGUAAAGUGUGCGCAGGCGGCGUCGCAAGUCGAGUGUGAAAGCCCCGGGCUUAACUUGGGAAUUGCGCUCGAAACUACGAUGCUGGAGUGUGGCAGAGGAAGGUGGAAUUCCACGUGUAGCGGUGAAAUGCGUAGAGAUGUGGAGGAACACCAAUGGCGAAGGCAGCCUUCUGGGCCAACACUGACGCUGAGGAGCGAAAGCGUGGGGAGCGAACAGG
rnacentral:rRNA from 1 species